rnacentral:rRNA from 1 species
AUGUACAUGCCUAUAGCAUAGCAUUAAUGCACCAGAUCCCAUUAUAACUUCGCAACUUACGCUUCGGCUAGAUUCGUAUUGGGAUGGGUGAUCCCCUGGGAAGUCCUAGUGUUUUACAUG